GAAAAUAUCGAUAAAACCCUUAAAAGAAACUGAAAAUGAUCGUCGCAACCAAAUUCAAGUUCGAGAGUCGAUUAUGCAAGGGGAAGGUAUUAGCACCCCUCACAUCCGUUGUACUCAACGAGAACCAUUUUGUUAUAUUUGUGAAUAAAACGUUAACUUUCGAUAUUUUUUUUCUUCUAGAUAUUAAGAGUUUAAAAGGAAAAGAGAAAAGGCCGCAAAAAAGGUUUUUAUUAUGGUGCUUGACAAGAUUAAGAGUCUUGCUCCUAUGUAUCUUCAGGUGCGAUGAGGAAUUCAA
rnacentral:lncRNA from 1 species